UACGUAGGGUGCGAGCGUUAAUCGGAAUUACUGGGCGUAAAGCGUGCGCAGGCGGUUCGUUGUGUCGGCGGUGAAAGCCCCGGGCUUAACCUGGGAAUGGCCGUUGAAACUGGCGAACUGGAGUGUGGCAGAGGGGGGUGGAAUUCCGCGUGUAGCAGUGAAAUGCGUAGAGAUGCGGAGGAACACUGAUGGCGAAGGCAGCCCCCUGGGCUAACACUGACGCUCAGGCACGAAAGCGUGGGGAGCAAACAGG
rnacentral:rRNA from 1 species